rnacentral:rRNA from 1 species
GUAGUUAGCCGGGGCUUCCUCACAGGGUACCGUCACUUCCUUCGUCCCCUGCGACAGAGGUUUACAAUCCGAAAACCUUCUUCCCUCACGCGGCGUUGCUGGGUCAGGCUUGCGCCCAUUGCCCAAUAUUCCCCACUGCUGCCUCCCGUAGGAGUCUGGACCGUGUCUCAGUUCCAGUGUGGCCGAUCAGCCUCUCAGCUCGGCUACCCAUCGUCGGCUAGGUGGGCCGUUACCCCGCCUACUACCUAAUGGGACGCGAACCCCUCUCAAAGCGAUGAAUCUUUGACCUCUCUCCGAUGCCGGAGCGUGGUCUUAUGCGGUAUUAGCACUUGUUUCCAGGUGUUAUCCCCCUCUUUGAGCCAGGUUGUUCACGCGUUACUCACCCGUUCGCCACUAGAAUAUAUCCGAAAACAUAUCCCCGUUCGACUUGCAUGUGUUAGGCACGCCGCCAGCGUUCGUCCUGAGCCAGAAUCGAACCCUGA